rnacentral:rRNA from 1 species
UGGGGAAUAUUGCACAAUGGGCGCAAGCCUGAUGCAGCCAUGCCGCGUGUAUGAAGAAGGCCUUCGGGUUGUAAAGUACUUUCAGCGAGGAGGAAGGCGUUGUGGUUAAUAACCGCAACGAUUGACGUUACUCGCAGAAGAAGCACCGGCUAACUCCGUGCCAGCAGCCGCGGUAAUACGGAGGGGGCAAGCGUUAAUCGGAAUUACUGGGCGUAAAGCGCACGCCGGCGGUCUGUCAAGUCGGAUGUGAAAUCCCCGGGCUCAACCUGGGAACUGCAUCCGAAACUGGCAGGCUAGAGUCUUGUAGAGGGGGGUAGAAUUCCAGGUGUAGCGGUGAAAUGCGUAGAGAUCUGGAGGAAUACCGGUGGCGAAGGCGGCCCCCUGGACAAAGACUGACGCUCAGGUGCGAAAGCGUGGGGAGCAAACA